GCUCAGGUUGUAUAUAUUAGUUCAGUCAGUGGGGCUUGAGACUCUUAAUCUCAGGACCGUGAGUUUGAGCCCCAUGUUGGGCA